rnacentral:lncRNA from 1 species
CUGGGCAAGGAAUCACUCAGUUCCAGAAACAGGCAGCAUCAGAAAGGAGAUUCAGGCUGGGCAUGGUGGCUCAUGCCUAUAAUCCUUUGAGAUUUGAUAAAAGGCUGGUCGGCUUCCCCCAGACCAAUAUCAUUAGGUCCACAGUCAACAUUUUGCAUACAGAUAUAGUGGGUAGACCCUCAGAGCCCAUCCAUUGAGUCACUAGGGACCUCUGGAUCUCCAGCAAAGACAGCUGUUGGUUGUGACUGGUUAGUGACUGUGGUAAUCUUGG